rnacentral:rRNA from 1 species
AGUGAACGUUGGCGGCGUGGAUUAGGCAUGCGAGUCGAGCGAGAACCGUAGCAAUACGGGGACAGCGGCGAAAGGGACAGUAAUAUGUAGGUACCCACCCUCGGGUCCGGGAUAGCUGCGGGAAACUGCAGGUAAUACCGGAUGACAUCUCCGGAUCAAAGGUGUGAUUCCGCCCGGGGAGGGGCCUGCAUCCUAUUAGCUUGUUGGUGGGGUAACGGCCUACCAGGGCGACGAUGGGUAGCGGGUGUGAGAGCAUGACCCGCGUCAUUGGGACUGAGACACGGCCCAGACACCUACGGGUGGCUGCAGUCGAGAAUCUUCGGCAAUGGGGGCAACCCUGACCGAGCGACGCCGCGUGCGGGAUGAAGGCCUUCGGGUUGUAAACCGCUGUCGUAGAGGAGGAAAUGCAGUGGGGUUCUCCCCUCUGUUUGACCUAUUCUAGGAGGAAGGACGGGCUAAGUUCGUGCCAGCCGCCGCAGUAA